AGUGAACGCUGGCGGUAGGCCUAACACAUGCAAGUCGAACGGCAGCACAGUAAGAGCUUGCUCUUACGGGUGGCGAGUGGCGGACGGGCGAGGAAUACAUCGGAAUCUACUUUUUCGUGGGGGAUAACGUAGGGAAACUUACGCUAAUACCGCAUACGACCUACGGGUGAAAGCAGGGGAUCUUCGGACCUUGCGCGAUUGAAUGAGCCGAAGUCGGAUUAGCUAGUUGGCGGGGUAAAGGCCCACCAAGGCGACGAUCCGUAGCUGGUCUGAGAGGAUGAUCAGCCACACUGGAACUGAGACACGGUCCAGACUCCUACGGGAGGCAGCAGUGGGGAAUAUUGGACAAGGGGCGCAAGCCUGAUCCAGCCAUACCGCGUGGGUGAAGAAGGCCUUCGGGUUGUAAAGCCCUUUUGUUGGGAAAGAAAAGCAGCAGGUUAAUACCCCGCUGUUCUGACGGUACCCAAAGAAUAAGCACCGGCUAACUUCGUG
rnacentral:rRNA from 1 species